GUUCAGCCAAACACCCACGCUGGCAAUGCUCCUUCCGUGUCCUCCCCCAAAUCCACGCCAGAGCUUCUUCCCCGCGAGAACCGGAUCUCGCUGACCGGAUCUUCCAUGAUCGCGCGAUUCCGUCGCCAGCUGAAGUCGUUGCGAUCCCUCCGCCUCCCAAGCCGCAAGCUCAAAGAUAAACCGUUUUCCCGUGACCAGAGGUCCGCCCACUACAAGUCAUCGCCCUCUCUGUACUCUUUUUGUCUCUCUCACCAUUUAUCCGCUUCCCAUCCCUGCUACCUCCUUGGCGCAAACCCCUAUCCUCCCUCUAGCCACUGGUUCUCGACCAGAUCGCGGGUACCUGCGUCCUCACCAUACAUACUCUAGGGGCGGGCGCUACUUCUGUCGUGGUGCCGUUCCCGGUGGCAAUGGCGUACACCGGCUCGGCCAUUGGCGCACGUCGUCCGGGCUUCCUCGCCGACGAGCGGCCGCCGUAGCUGACGACCUGCACGCCCAGCCCGUGACUCCGGCGCGGGCGGGGUUGGCCGACAAUGGGCCGUGGGGACGUAGUUCUGUGUUGGCUGCGAUUCCUCACCAACGUACCCGUCCGCCCGGUCGUCUGCCGAUUAGGCCACCGCCCCAACCCCGAUGCCAUGGGGAGGUUCUCCGGUGGGCACUAGAAGCAUUUGCGGCACGAUUGGGCGUCAGGGACAAUCAUGGCGAGCAGGAUUCCUCAUCGGCGCCUGUGUAUCACCAUCGUUCGCAGCCCACCGUGGGUGGAGGUCUCCACGACAUGACCAACGAGAGUUUUCGAGCCACCUGAAGAUCACCUUGGUUACUGGAAUCUCAAGUGGCAGGCAAGUUGUGCCCUUGAUCACUUUUGUUUACCCAAUAAUGUUCUUUAUUAUCACUAUUCAUGCAUAGACUUAAUUUUGAUGAGACCCAAUAGGUCACCCUAGUCUGUUUAUCUUGUUUACUUUGUUACCCCUGAAUCACAUGGGUAGUUUCUGCUAUUGCUUUAUAUGUUUUUGGGAUUAUUAUUUCAUUAUAUCCAUGUUCCAAUUAUUCUGUUAUGUUAUUUAUGUUAAUGUCAAGAUCAUUAAUGUUAAUUGGAACAUGGAGCUUAACUUGAGAAACACGUGCCACCACAAGGGUUUAAUGGGACGCCCUUGGCCAACUAACUAGGAAAGCUAGUGGAAGACUACCUUACCCGAAAGGGGCAAGGGCAGUAGGGGAGUUGCAUGCAAGGAGGUUGUCGGGUUGAUUUUACUGCGAUGGCGGUCAGGCGAGGGAUUCUUGCAAGUGCUCUUCCCAUAAACUGUAGUGGGUUUUCGGAAGCUAGUGGAACUUUGUAAAGGCCUCGUAGUGGAUCCCUAGCCAUUCACCUCGGUAGUGUCUAAGGGCCUUGCAAAUCCUAGCGACAUGGGAUACACGACUUGUGGGUACAGGGUACAACCUCUGCAGAGUGUAAAACUGGUAUACUAACCGAGCUCACGGUCAUGAGCAGCUUAGGACUCUCGCAUGAUUAAAUAUGGAACCUAAACUUAAUUUAUCAUUUGCAUUUGCAUUUGCAUGGGAUUUAUUAUUAAUUUUGUUCUAUUAUUAUUUUUAUUAUGGUUUGAUAUUUACUUACAUUUAGUAACUGCUAAUAAAAUUUUGACCAACUUAUAAAAGCAAUGCUCAGCUUCAACCUUUAUUUUGUUGAUCAGCCUUACACUUCACAUGAACUCCAACCUUUUGCGAGUUCAUGCCACAUUAUUCUCCACAACUUGUUGAUCGAUGAACAUGUGUGAGCUCACCCUUGCUGUCUCACACCCCCACAGGAGAAGUACAUGUGGUUCAAGUGGAGCCACGUAUCGAGGAGUUCGAUUCGAUCUAGGUGGCGUCUCCUAGUUGACUUGCGCCAAGGACGAUCCUUAGAGCAUCUCCAAGAGCUCCUAAAAAAUAUCACCCAAUAAUUAGAAAUUGGGACGUCUUUAAACAUUUUGUUCCAAAAAAAUAAGAUGUACUCCAACACCUCCCUUUAAUUUCCCUAAAUAUCUGUUAAACCUAGUGUCGCGAGGCCUGUGUUCCUUCUGGUAAACAUAGACAGAAGAAGCAUUUUUGUAUUCCUUCUAUGGCUGUGUUUACCCAAUAAACAGGAAAAAUUAGUACACCAAAACAAAAGCUGAUGCAUCCAAACAAAGAAUACAAAGAAUACUACGUGGCUGUUUGUUUCAGCUUCUGGGCGGCUUCUGGCCACCAGAAGCUGAAGCUGUAUCCAAACAGCCAGCUUCUGAGGCGGCUUUUCGUCGUAGCGCUUCGGAUAGAAGCCGAGCGCACACAGUCCGCACGAAGCCGCCCUCACUUCGCUUCUAACGGAAGCCCCCACCCACUUCGCUAGGGUUUAGGCGACGAAACGCGCCUCCGCCGCCGCCAACGAACCCGCCGCCGCUGCGCACCCAACGGACCGCCGCCAGGUCGAUCUCCUCCCCGCAACAGGUACGGCCCACUCCUCGGCGACCUCGUCCUUUCCUGUCCGUUGGUUUUCCUCUCCACUGCGGCGUCUCAAUCCCGUCUUCGCUAGGGUUCGUGCACCCUCGGCCGAGCCUCAGAGUCGUCGAGAAGGAACCUUCUUCCCCCGUCGUCGGAGGUACGUGAGCUCUUUCCUCCAUCCGGCCCUCCCAUUCUCCACCUUCGCCGCGGUGGGAGACUUGACCGUUUACUGUCCGUAGCGUUGGCUCACUCACACCGGCGACGUCGCUCCGUCUUCCUCUGGUUCCCCCCGUCGCGUCGGCAUCUUCCGAGAAAUCCGUACCAACUCGGUAUCUGCGUAUUCGCUUCCAAGAUCAACAACAGCCAAGGUAAUUACAUACACAAAUUGUUAGAGUCCCCAUGGGUUAACAAAUUAUGUGUUUACGGUUUACAGGGAUUACCAUCGUUCUGUUGUAUAACCCAAUUAUUUCUGGAGUCUUGACUUGUUAGUUUGUUUGUUCACAACAAGUUUGUUAAUAGUACGUGUUCAUACUUGUAUUUGUUAGUACCUCUAUGGUAGCUUCAACCAAAUGUUGUCCAUGUUAGAACGCAAUUGAUGUCAAUACAUGCAAGUUAGUAUCCCCUUGUUAGUUCACUAACAACCUAAAUCCACAUCAGAUGGAUUCAGCAGACUCCAUAGCCGACAAGGCAAUUGGAAGGAUGCAAGAGAUUGCGGACAAGAUAUUUUCCGUAGCUCGGGAAACAAUCCGUCCAGGACGCGGGUUGACCUCUUUUGAGGCUACCAAACUUCGUGUAGCAUUGGAGGACAUUGCUUGCAUGCUUGAGCAAGACUCUCUGGUGUUGCAAGAGAACCUAGACAUCGUGAACAACGUAAACAACCCGGGUGACAGCAACUACGAACCGUCAGCCUUGUCCUCACCACCCCCAGCUGACGAGUACCUUAGGCCAGAUUGGGACUUUGCUGAUCACUUUGCAAACUUCUGGGGUCUUGAAUAUGACUCGGACCAGAUGCCAUCGUUUAGUGAUAAUGAAGUUUAAGUUAGACCUUGUUAGAGUAAGUUGUUCGAGGUCAUCAAGUUUAAGUUAGAACUUGUUAGAGGCAGGUGUUAGGGUCACAGGGAAAGAUCAGCCUUUUGCUUCCUGCGCAGUUCUGAAGUGUUCCCUGUUCUUUUGUGUGCACCAGCACUUUAAUUUGGUCAGUCUAUAUAUGUAAUUAUGGCAAACGAAUGUGACUCCUUAAGGUAGUACUUUAUGUUAUUAUUACCUGUUCAUUUUGUUGUCGUAGUAACUGCACUUCAAUACAUAUUUUCAAUCGUCUACACUUGUUUUGCACUAGAUGGACAAGUCUGGCAAGGUCAUUGCUAAGUGGGAUAGUAGAGCAACAAAAAUUUACACAGAAAUAUGUGUAGAAGAGGUGAAUGCACGGAACAGGCCACAACAAUUCCUAAACGCCGAAGGGUAUGCUAACCUGAUAAGAAAGUUUAAGGAACGCACUGGUCGCACGUACACAAGGGAUCAAAUGAAAAAUAGGUGGGACUCGUUGAAGAGAAUGUUCACCUAGUGGAAAACUCUAAAUGAAAGGGCUACAGGUCUUGGUCGAGACCCUCAUACUGGUUCAAUCAGUGCGCCAGAUGAGUGGUGGGCCAAGCAAAAUGAAGUAGAUCUUUUUUUUGUUUUGUAGACUAACAAUAGUAUUUGGCCAUCUCAAACUAGGAACUACCAUGUUGGUGCAGGCAAUGCCAGGUUGUAUUAUGUUCAAAACAACCCCCCUAGAGAAUGAGGAUGAGCUAAAGGUUAUGUUUGGACCCAUUGUCUGCACAAAUGAAAGAACCCUGGUUCCUGGAGUCGAGGAUGCUAAUUCAUCAUCUGAUGAUCAUUUGGAAGCCACUUUAGGUGGGGGUGAAAACAGCACACCUGACCCCUGCACAAAUGCUAGUGGGAAGCGUAAGAUGCGCCAUGAUUCUCCAAAACCAAAGAAGAAAAAAGAUUCGAGGGAAGAGUACAUGAGAAGACUAGUGGAGGCUUUUGAGUCGCGUUCAAUGACCACUAACAAGUCCAUUACCUCUGCUGACAAUGACUCUGUUCGACUUGAGAUUAAAAAGCAGUUGCAACAAGUUAUGGAUGAUGGAUCACCAGAAGGCAGCCAAAUACAUUUGUUUGCCACUCAUCUAUUGACUGAGAAAAAGUAUAGAGAUAUUUUUGCAAACUUGCAGACAAAAGAAGGAAGGAUCGCUUGGCUUCGCAAUGCUUACGAGAUAGAUCUUAAAAAGUGCACUUAGCUGCUGGUGGUCCGACAACAGAGGCUUAUUCAGUAUUACCGUUGUUUCUGUCUGUUUUAUGAGUCUUGUCGUUUCAUUGUUGUGAGUAAUAAACUUGUCGUGCGCUUCAGUUUCCCUUUCAAACAAUUUUCUAGAUAUUCGAGUUGAACUUGUAUUUGAAUAAUCAGAGUUGUCUGCUUGUGAACAAUGUGAACGUUCUGUCUCAUUUGAAUACUGAAUAUAUAUGUGGCUUGUAAACUGUGGUUGUACAUUGAUAUGUCACUUAUAAAGUGUUGUUACAUAUGAAUAUGUCUCUGUUUUUUAUG